GUGACAUCAGCGGUCAUGGAGAGUCUCCAUCCAGCUGGAUCACUGUCACAGACAAACACACCACCACACCUCCACCUACAUCCACACCUUCACCUGAUUUCUCCUGUGUCCCUCUAUCACUCUUUUCUCUUGUCCUCACUGUGUCAGUUAUUAGUUCAGUCUGUGUUCUGGUUCUUGUGGUGUUACUGGUUCUGCUGGUGAGACGACAAGUUCAAAGGAAAUCUGAAUGGGAGGAGUUGGAGAUAAAGUCAUCAACAACAGCCAAUCAGAGGAAGCAGAGGUAGUUUUUAAUGUGCUGUGUGUUGAGGGUUCAUGUUGAUAUUCAAAGGAAAUAUAAAAAUU